rnacentral:tRNA from 1 species
UGGACGUUAGCUCAGUUGGUAGAGCAGAGGAUUUUUAAUCCUAAGGUCAAUGGUUCGAACCCAUUACGUCCAA